rnacentral:rRNA from 1 species
UACGUAGGACCCAAGCGUUAUCCGGAAUUACUGGGCGUAAAGAGUUGCGUAGGUGGCAGAGUAAGUUAGUAGUGAAAGCGUGUGGCUCAACCAUACAUCCAUUACUAAAACUACUCAGCUAGAGUUUAGGAGAGGUACCUGGAAUUCCUAGUGUAGGAGUGAAAUCCGUAGAUAUUAGGAGGAACACCGAUGGCGUAAGCAGGGUACUGGCCUAUUACUGACACUAAGGCACGAAAGCGUGGGGAGCGAACGGG